rnacentral:rRNA from 1 species
GUACACGCUGUGACUAGCAUAUCAAUAAGCGGAGGAAAAGAAACUAACAAGGAUUCCCCUAGUAACGGCGAGUGAAGCGGGAAGAGCUCAAAUUUGAAAUCUUAAAGGGUUUCCCUUUACGAAUUGUAGUUUAAAGAAGUGUUUUCUGUUGAGGUUUUGGUAAAAGUUCUUUGGAAUAGGACAUCAUAGAGGGUGAGAAUCCCGUAUUUGACCUUUACUUUCAACUUUGUGAUACACUUUCAAAGAGUCGGAUUGUUUGGGAAUGCAGUCCAAAAUGGGUGGUAAAUUUCAUCUAAAGCUAAGUAUUGGCGAGAGACCGAUAGCGAACAAGUACCGUGAGGGAAAGAUGAAAAGAACUUUGAAAAGAGAGUUAAACAGUACGUGAAAUUGUCAAAAGGGAAGCGUUUGACACCAGUGUUGUUUUUCUGAAAGUCAAUUAAAGAACUGUUUAUGCUAAGUUGUUUAGACUUUAUCAGCUAACUGGUUAGUUUUGAGCUUUUCUUUAAUGCACUUUUCAGUUAACAAGUCAACAUCAAUUUCUUUUGCUGUAAAAAAGCUUGAGGAAGGUGGCUUGAGAUUCGUCUUAAGUGUUUAUAGCCUCUUGCCUAUGCAGUCGGAGAGAUUGAGGUCUGCAGCGUAGAUCCUUCGGGGCUAAAUGCAUUUGUGCUAAGUUAUAGCAUUUUAUAGACAACUUGUUGACUAUGAUUUGUCUUGUAGCUUACUCGCUUAUGUUAUUUUACCUACGCUUAGGAUGUUGAAGAUGUAGCACAUCAU